rnacentral:tRNA from 1 species
AUAUCUAAAUAGCUUAUAAAUUAGAGUAUAAUAUUGAAGAUAUUAUGGAGAUUAGUUAAUCUUUAGAUGUA